rnacentral:rRNA from 1 species
GUGAGGAAUCUUCCGCAAUGGGCGAAAGCCUGACGGAGCGACACCGCGUGGAGGAAGAAGGCCUUUUGGUUGUAAACUCCUUUUCUGGGGGAAUAAAUGAUGAAUGUACCCCAGGAAUAAGCACCGGCUAACUACGUGCCAGCAGCCGCGGUAAUACGUAGGGUGCAAGCGUUAUCCGGAAUCAUUGGGCGUAAAGCGUUCGUAGGCUGUUUGAAAAGUUUGUGGUUAAAUCCGGUCGCUCAACGAUCGAAUCGCUACAAAAACUAUCAGACUGGAGAUUGGCAGAGGCAACUGGAAUUCCGCAUGUAGGGGUAAAAUCCGUUGAUAUGCGGAGGAACACCAAAAGCGAAGGCAGGUUGCUGGGCCAUUUCUGACGCUUAGGAACGAAAGCGUGGGGAUCAAACAGGAUUAGAAACCCCUGUAGUCC